AGGGGAGCCGGAGGGAAACCGAGUCUUAACCGGGCGUUAAGUUGCAGGGUAUAGACCCGAAACCCGGUGAUCUAGCCAUGGGCAGGUUGAAGGUUGGGUAACACUAACUGGAGGACCGAACCGACUAAUGUUGAAAAAUUAGCGGAUGACCUGUGGCUGGGGGUGAAAGGCCAAUCAAACCGGGAGAUAGCUGGUUCUCCCCGAAAGCUAUUUAGGUAGCGCCUCGUGAAUUCAUCUCCGGGGGUAGAGCACUGUUUCGGCUAGGGGGCCAUCCCGGCUUACCAACCCGAUGCAAACUGCGAAUACCGGAGAAUGUUAUCACGGGAGACACACGGCGGGUGCUAACGUCCGUCGUGAAGAGGGAAACAACCCAGACCGCCAGCUAAGGUCCCAAAGUCAUGGUUAAGUGGGAAACGAUGUGGGAAGGCCCAGACAGCCAGGAUGUUGGCUUAGAAGCAGCCAUCAUUUAAAGAAAGCGUAAUAGCUCACUGGUCGAGUCGGCCUGCGCGGAAGAUGUAACGGGGCUAAACCAUGCACCGAAGCUGCGGCAGCGACGCUGAUGCGUUGUUGGGUAGGGGAGCGUUCUGUAAGCCUGCGAAGGUGGCCUGUGAGGGUUGCUGGAGGUAUCAGAAGUGCGAAUGCUGACAUAAGUAACGAUAAAGCGGGUGAAAAGCCCGCUCGCCGGAAGACCAAGGGUUCCUGUCCAACGUUAAUCGGGGCAGGGUGAGUCGACCCCUAAGGCGAGGCCGAAAGGCGUAGUCGAUGGGAAACGGGUUAAUAUUCCCGUACUUGGUGUUACUGCGAAGGGGGGACGGAGAAGGCUAUGUUGGCCGGGCGACGGUU
rnacentral:rRNA from 1 species